UAGCUUGGUUGGUAGAGCGUCUGCCUUGUAAGCUCUAGGCCGCGGGUUCUAUUCCCGC
rnacentral:tRNA from 1 species